AUUGAACGCUGGCGGCAUGCCUUACACAUGCAAGUCGAACGGUAACGGGCCUUCGGGUGCCGACGAGUGGCGAACGGGUGAGUAAUGCAUCGGAACGUACCUUUCAGUGGGGGAUAACGUAGCGAAAGUUACGCUAAUACCGCAUAUUCUGUGAGCAGGAAAGCAGGGGAUCGCAAGACCUUGCGCUGAUUGAGCGGCCGAUGCCAGAUUAGCUAGUUGGUGAGGUAAAGGCUCACCAAGGCGACGAUCUGUAGCGGGUCUGAGAGGAUGAUCCG
rnacentral:rRNA from 1 species